rnacentral:rRNA from 1 species
ACGAACGCUGGCGGCGUGCUUAACACAUGCCAGUCGAACGGUGAAGCGCCUUCCUUUUUGGUGGGUGUGGAUGAGUGGCGAACGGGUGAGUAACACGUGAGUAACCUGCCCCCUUCUUCUGGAUAACCGCAUGAAAGUGUGGCUAAUACGGGAUAUUCUGGGUCUGUCGCAUGAUGGGUCUGGGAAAGAUAUUGUUUCGGUGGGGGAUGGGCUCGCGGCCUAUCAGCUUGUUGGUGGGGUGAUGGCCUACCAAGGCGGUGACGGGUAGCCGGCCUGAGAGGGUGGACGGUCACACUGGGACUGAGACACGGCCCAGACUCCUACGGGAGGCAGCAGUGGGGAAUAUUGCACAAUGGGCGCAAGCCUGAUGCAGCGACGCCGCGUGAGGGAUGGAGGCCUUCGGGUUGUGAACCUCUUUCGCCAGUGAAGCAGGCCUGCCUCGUUUGUGGGUGGGUUGACGGUAGCUGGAUAAGAAGCGCCGGCUAACUACGUG